rnacentral:rRNA from 1 species
GAUGAACGCUGGCGGCGUGCCUAAUACAUGCAAGUCGAGCGAACAGACGAGGAGCUUGCUCCUCUGACGUUAGCGGCGGACGGGUGAGUAACACGUGGAUAACCUACCUAUAAGACUGGGAUAACUUCGGGAAACCGGAGCUAAUACCGGAUAAUAUAUUGAACCGCAUGGUUCAAUAGUGAAAGACGGUUUUGCUGUCACUUAUAGAUGGAUCCGCGCCGCAUUAGCUAGUUGGUAAGGUAACGGCUUACCAAGGCAACGAUGCGUAGCCGACCUGAGAGGGUGAUCGGCCACACUGGAACUGAGACACGGUCCAGACUCCUACGGGGGGCAGCAGUAGGGAAUCUUCCGCAAUGGGCGAAAGCUUGACGGAGCGACGCCGCGUGAGUGAUGAAGGUCUUCGGAUCGUAAAACUCUGUUAUUAGGGAAGAACAAAUGUGUAAGUAACUAUGCACGUCUUGACGGUACCUAAUCAGAAAGCCACGGCUAACUACGUG